rfam:Felis catus isolate Cinnamon breed Abyssinian chromosome A1, whole genome shotgun sequence.
GCCUGGGUGGCUCAGUCGGUCAAGCAUCUGACUUCAGCUCAGGUCAUGAUCUUGUGGCUUGUGGGUUCGAGCCCUGCAUUGGGCU